CUACGGGAGGCAGCAGUGGGGAAUGUUGCACAAUGGGCGAAAGCCUGAUGCAGCGACGCCGCGUGGGUGACGAAGGCCUUCGGGUUGUAAAGCCCUUUUGUCGGGGACGAUGAUGACGGUACCCGGCGAACAAGCACCGGCUAACUCCGUGCCAGCAGCCGCGGUAAGACGGAGGGUGCUAGCGUUGUUCGGAAUUACUGGGCGUAAAGGGCGCGUAGGCGGCCAGAUCAGUCGGGUGUGAAAGCCCGGGGCUCAACCCCGGAACGGCACCCGAGACGGUUUGGCUGGAGACCGGGAGAGGAGGGUGGAAUAGCCAGUGUAGAGGUGAAAUUCGUAGAUAUUGGCUGGAACACCGGUGGCGAAAGCGGCUCUCUGGCCCGGUUCUGACGCUGAGGCGCGAAAGCGUGGGGAGCAAACAGGAUUAGAUACCCCGGUAGUCC
rnacentral:rRNA from 1 species